rnacentral:rRNA from 1 species
UACGGAGGGGGCAAGCGUUGUUCGGAAUUACUGGGCGUAAAGGGCGCGCAGGCGGCUGCUCAAGUCAGGCGUGAAAGGCCUGGGCUCAACCCGGGAACUGCGCUUGAGACUGGGCUGGCUUGAGUGCGGGAGAGGAUGGUGGAAUUCCCAGUGUAGAGGUGAAAUUCGUAGAUAUUGGGAAGAACACCGGUGGCGAAGGCGGCCAUCUGGACCGCAACUGACGCUGAGGCGCGAAAGCGUGGGGAGCAAACAGG